CCACACCACCUUACCCUCCCAGAGUGACACAAACCCCAGGUCCAGCCCCACAGGCGCGCUUAGAGACUCCCGCGAGUUAGAGACCCACGACUACGGAAGUGCUCACGAACAACACGGUUACACUUGACCUCUAUGCACACACACAAACACACGACACAAACUCACACACAGCGCCCCAAAAGAUUAAAUUCCCUGAAAUUGGGUCUGGAGAAGAAGUGAGGGGGCGUCAGCCCGAAGGCUUCAUCCCCAAGACCGGGACACGGGAAUCCCAGAGGGCUGUCAGGACGAAGAGGCUCCAUCUAAACGGGCCGGGGUCGGGGGCGGCCUGUCUCUGCCACUGCCGUGCCCGGGCGAGGGCGCCGACAGCCAGGGGUUCGCCGGGGGCCGGUCUGCGGACCCGGAUCCCCGCAAGGACCGCCACGCGCCCGGAUUCUUGGUCUGCUUUGUGAACUUCGCUCUUACGAAAAGUUAAACAAGACAAAGACGAGAAGUCUCACUUAGGAGGGUCUAACGAAUUACCUUUACAGACAAGAAUAAAACUUCAAGAAAAUUAAA